UACAGAGGGGGCGAGCGUUGUUCGGAAUUACUGGGCGUAAAGGGCGCGUAGGCGGCCCGCUAAGUCGAACGUGAAAUCCCCAGGCUCAACCUGGGAACUGCGUCCGAUACUGGCAGGCUUGAAUCCGGGAGAGGGAUGUGGAAUUCCAGGUGUAGCGGUGAAAUGCGUAGAUAUCAGGAGGAACACCUGUGGUGUAGACGGCUUACUGGACUAUAACUGACGCUGAGGAACGAAAGCGUGGGUAGCAAACAGG
rnacentral:rRNA from 1 species